rnacentral:rRNA from 1 species
UACGUAGGGGGCAAGCGUUGUCCGGAAUCAUUGGGCGUAAAGCGCGCGUAGGCGGCUAGAUCAGUCUGCUGUAAAAGUCAAAGGCUCAACCUUUGAAAGCCGGUGGAUACUGUCUAGCUAGAGUCCGGAAGAGGCGAGUGGAAUUCCUGGUGUAGCGGUGGAAUGCGCAGAUAUCAGGAGGAACACCAAUUGCGAAGGCAGCUCGCUGGGACGUAACUGACGCUGAGACGCGAAAGCGUGGGGAGCAAACAGG